CUGACAAUAAACAGAUGACCCAACGUUGCCUAAGUUAGAACAUGCACCGCUGCUGCCCAGGCUCCAAUAAGGGCAGGGUUGGCGCGUGUGGGCUUCUCUAAAGGGAAACAUGGCCAGUAAUUUUAAAAUCCAUCCCCUCUUCAAUGAUAGCAAAUAUAAAAGCAACGGGCUGCAAGGUACACGUAUGUUUAAUGAAAAAUGGAGGGACGUGCUUAAAAACAUGGGUACUAGCCGAUAAAAUGAGUCAAUUAAGACUAUUGCCACCUGCAGUAAAAUGGACCUCACAUUUCUCUUGACUACAGUUUUGUCAGAUCUAAAAUGAGGGUAGCCUUAAGUGAUUUCCAAAUUUCUUUCCAGGUCACAUUAGAUGAAUCUGUACCUUGGGACCACCACACCGUUAAUAUAUAAGACUGGAUUACAAUUAAAGGAUGAGGAAGCUUUCUCAAAGGGUGCUUUGUAUGUGUUUACUAGUUGUGCAAACCAUGAACCUCGGUAAUGUGGUUAAUAGACCAUGAAAAGGAUGUGGUUUCUGCCCUCGGCUUAAAACAAAGACAGCAAUAAGACUAAAAGUACUUCAGGGCACAUGAGAGCAAAUUUCAAUCAAUACUUAUAGGAGAGGGAAGUUAAUUUUGCCUGAAGAGAAGAUCUGGCCUGCAUUAUGCAUUAAUUAGUAUUAGCUAAAAACUAUGUGGACCUAGCCCUUAUCAUUAAAAUAAAACACUCAAGGGUUUACAAACUAUUGAAAUUUAAGAAAAUGUCUUUGCAAUGAAUGCUACUAAGACUCACUGUUAUUAAGUACAUACAUAUCAAUUCCAUAAACUCAAUGGAAAACAUUUUACUGUGCUUGUAAAAAGAAGUGACUCAUAAACAGGAAUUCUGUCAUUUUAUCACUUUCAUGAUAGAAUGAUGUGUAGAAUUUGUUUUACAAUGCUCCAGAAAUAAAAUGUAGGGAAUGGAAAGAAGAUAGGUGAAAGAAAAGUGGUGCAACAUCAGUCAGUGUUGAAGCUAAGUUCAUUUUGCUACUUUACCUACUCAUGCAUAUGUUGGAAAAUUUACAAAAUGAAAAGCUAAAAGGAGAGAGAGCAUCUUCAGCAUGAAAGACAGCCAUUACCAAAGCAUUUCCUAUCUUUAACAAAAACUGAAGUCUUAGCCUUCAGACUAAGGAUGGUAGGAAGAAAGUAGCAAGGAAGUAUGGGACUGACCUUGCCGUAAGGAGUCACAGACCAGGGUAAGGGACCUGUUGCUGUCAGACCAUGAUUGGCAUCUUAGCCCUGACACUUCCUAGCCAUGUGAUUUGGGGCUAAAACUAGUCCACACCAAAGUUCUCUUAAAAUGCGGGUAGUAAUAGAACCUGCUCCAAAAGGUGGCUGUGAAGAUUAUAUGAGAUAAGAAUAAUGCCUAGCACAUAUUCUAACUCAAAAAGCUUACAUAUUAGGUUGGUGCAAACAUAAUUGUGGUUUUUGCCACAAUAUUGCCAACACUAAUAUUAUUAUUUGGAGGCAACAAUACGCUGUAAUGUCUAUUUUUCUUAUACUAAAGUUAACUUCACUUAGCAUGAUACACAAUGCCUCUCACAGCCCAGCUUCAGUUUUGCCCACUUUACAUUCCACUAUUCCCAGAGUUCCCUGUGUCCUAGUAACACAAAGCUACUCCCCAUUCCCAAAGCACAUUGUGUACUUCAGUGUCUCCUUGCUCCUUCAUUCUGAUUAGAACACUCUUCUCCAGUUGUCCAGUGAAUCAUUCAGUCUCUGUCAUGUAGUCCACACUGUACCUCUGAUAGCUCAUGCAGAAUGAGCUGCUGUCUCUUCUCAGAUCCAAUUGCUCUUCUGUAUAACUGAUAUGGUUUGGCUCUGUGUCCCCAUCCAAAUCACAUUUUGUAGCUCCCCUAAUUCCCACGUGUUGUGGGAGGGACCCCAUGGGAGAUAAUUGAAUCAUGGGGGCGGGUCUUUCCCAUGUUGUUCUCGUGAUAGUGAAUAAGUCUCAUGAGAUCUGAUGGUUUUAAAAAUGGUAAUUUCCCUGCACAAGCUGUCUCUCUUUUGGCCUGCUGCCAUCCGCGUAAGACAUGACUUACUCCUCCGUGCCUUCCACCAUGAUUGUGAGGCUUCCCCAGCCAUGAGGAACUGUGAGUUGAAUAAACACUUUUUCCUGUAUAAAUUACCCCGUCUCGGGUAUGUCUUUAUCAGCAGCGUGAAAAUGGACUAAUACAAUAACUUCACCACAUACCUUUCAUAGUAUAAUGCAUUUAUAUGUAGCUAUCACCCUCUACCCUCACUCCUCCAACCACUACUAAAAACUCUUCAAGGUCAAGGGCUUUACCUUAUAUAUCUUUGUGUCCCCUGUAUUGCAGAAUACCCAUCCCAUAGAUGUACUUGGGAUAGACAGCUUCUGGCACUCCUCCCAAGAUCUCUCCCUCCUGGUUACAAAAACCUGAGACUUCCAUUUUGCUGGAAACUUCUUUUCCUCUUGCACACUCACUCUGCGACUCUGUGUGGAGAGCUCCAUGUGACAAGGGAGGUCUGCAGCCUAAGCAACUGAGACCUCAGCCCAACAGCCCUCAAAGAACUGGAUCUUCAAACAACCACAUGAGUGACCUAGAAGCAAAUCUGUCACCAGUGCUCUUGAGACGGGCUGAAGUAUUUAAUCACCGGCACAAAAUGUCCCAGUGUUCUGUUCUCCUGCUGUGGAAAUUUUAGAGAAAAGAUCAUGAUCUAAGAGUCUACAAGACCAGAGCAGCCUGAAUUGCUGAGCUGCCUGGUGGAGAAUAGCAGCAUUGGGUGGUUCCCAGGAUUCUUAAAAGGACUUUACAAAGGCCUGGCCUAAUCACUUAAGAGCUCUUAAGGAGUGAAUGGGCUCUUCCUGAAAAAAGAGCUUCUGCUAACCCUGAAAAGCAAGCAACAACCCUGUGAACUGCUAUGGAGAGAGAUGGCCUCUAACAGCUGAGGACCUCAGUCCUACAACCACAAGAAACUGAUUUCUGCCAACAACAUGAAUGAACUUGGAAAAGGCCCCUGAGCUCCAGAUGAGAACACCCAGGUCAACUCAGGUCAUGAGCAGAGAACCCUGUUAUAUUCUCCUUGGCUUGUGAUCCAUAAACAAUGAGAUUAUAAAUGUGUGGUUUUUAAGCCAUUAGGUUUGUGGUAACUUGUUACACAAGCCUCUUUUAGAUUCUUUACAUACACAAAUAUAUUCUAAACGAAUAAUGAGUCUUCCUUUCCCAUCUUUAUACCAUUUACUUCUUAUUCUUCCCUUACCGCUUUAAGACCUCUAGUAUAAAGUUGACUAGAAAAGGUGGUAGUGGCAUUAUUGUGUAGUUCUUUAUAUCAAAGGGAAGAUUUUCAAUGUUUUCAUGUUAAGUAUGACAUUUACUGUAGGUUUUUCAUAGAUGCUCUUUAAUCAGUUUAAGCAAUUCUUGUCUAUCCCUAGAAUUAUUGUCAGGAAUAAAUGUUGACUUUUAUCGAACACUGUUUCUGCACCUUUUAAAAAUAUCAUAUUUUUUCCUUCAAAUGGUUACUGUGUUGAAUUAUAUUAGCAGACAUUCUAAUGUUAAAGUAACCUAUCAUUCCAGAGAAAAGGAGGUGAGAAUAGCAGUUUAGUUAUGAUGCUGUAUCCCUUUUAUAAAUUCUUGGAUGCAAUUUGCCAAUAUUUGGUCUAAGAUUUUUGCAUUAUGUUAAUGACUGGAAAUGAGUCUUAAUUUUCCUUUAUUUUUCUGGCUUCUUUGUGUUUCGAUAUCAAGAAUAUGCAAGUCUCAUGCAAUAAAUUCUAUGGAAGAGUUGGUUAAGAUUGCAUUUUUUUCCUUACAUGUCUUAUAGAAAUGAGUGGUAAAAUAUCUGAAAAUGGAGGACUACUGAAGAAUUGGAUAUGGUUUCUUCAGGUUGUAAAGAAAAAUAUGUUAAGUAUGCUAACACUUAGAAACACUCAAAUAUAGCAAGCUAAAAUUGUUUAAUCAAUUAACCACUUUUGUGGAAACAUAUCUGCAGAAAUGGAAUGAGACUAUAAAUUAGUGUUUCCUGAACAUAUUUCACUAUCAAACACUUCUUCAAUUUCAGUUUGUAAAAUAAAGUGUAUUUUGUUUAUUUAAAACUUUCUUCUUUCAUUCAAAGAUCCAAGACAAAGAAUGUGUUUAGUCUAGCGUUUUAUAAACAUGAAAUCCUGAAUAUGACAAAUGCAUGCUGAAUUUCAAUAUUUAAUCGGCAUACAUCAGUUUGUUAAUAAAUGUUCCUUAUGUAUUAAAGCUCAGAUUUUGCAUUUAUGAUGCAUGAAGAAUUAUAAAUCAUGUGGUUUCAUCCCGUUGCAAGAAUACAAUGCCACACUCAAAAGUAAUCUCAAAAUACUUGUAUUUCUCAAGUCUUUUGAAAGGG
rnacentral:lncRNA from 10 species